GGCUCUGAAUGUGGUCUGGCUGUGACAUCAGCAUCCCACUGACUACCAGGGUUGAUUCAGCUGAUGUGGUUGACUGGGCUGGACUCCAUAUCCUUCACUCACAAGCCUAAAAACUGUGCAUUGUUGGAGGAGGAUAGCCUCCUGGGGAGACCAGAACCACUUAAUUUUUGUCCAAAUGGAAAUGAAUUUUUGCUUUUAGUAUGUCUUGAUUCAACCUGUGACUAAAGGUCUUAUAGACGGCUUUAAAAUUAAAGGUAAAAUUGUUUAACCAAAAGUAAGUUGAAAUUAUGUUUUCAGUUU
ensembl:misc_RNA 7SK 7SK RNA